rnacentral:rRNA from 1 species
AGUGAACGCUGGCGGUAGGCCUAACACAUGCAAGUCGAACGGCAGCACAGUAAGAGCUUGCUCUUACGGGUGGCGAGUGGCGGACGGGUGAGGAAUACAUCGGAAUCUACUUUUUCGUGGGGGAUAACGUAGGGAAACUUACGCUAAUACCGCAUACGACCUACGGGUGAAAGCAGGGGAUCUUCGGACCUUGCGCGAUUGAAUGAGCCGAUGUCGGAUUAGCUAGUUGGCGGGGUAAAGGCCCACCAAGGCGACGAUCCGUAGCUGGUCUGAGAGGAUGAUCAGCCACACUGGAACUGAGACACGGUCCAGACUCCUACGGGAGGCAGCAGUGGGGAAUAUUGGACAAUGGGCGCAAGCCUGAUCCAGCCAUACCGCGUGGGUGAAGAAGGCCUUCGGGUUGUAAAGCCCUUUUGUUGGGUAAGAAAAGCAGCAGGUUAAUACCCCGCUGUUCUGACGGUACCCAAAGAGUAAGCACCGGCUAACUUCGUG